UUAAUGUUUAUUUAUUUUUGAGAGGCAGAGUGCAAGCAAGGGAAGGGCAGAGGGAGAGUGAGAGAGACACAGAAUCCAAAGCAGGCUCUGGAUUCUGAGCUGUCAGCACAGAGCCUGACACGGGGCUCAAACCCACCAAUUAUGAGAUCAUGACCUGAGUCGAAGUCAGAUACUUAACAGACUGAGCCACCCAGGUGUCCCACAAUUCGAUGGUUUAAUAGGCAGUUGGAUAUAUGAGAUUGAAGCUCAGAUGGUCUGGGAUUACAAUGUGAAUAUUCACAUCUCUUAUGUGAGAAUAUAAAUAAACUCAAUAUAAAUGAGAUCACCUAGGAAAGAGUUCGUAUAGAAUGAGAAGAGAAGAAGAGCUAGGGCCAUACCUUGAGAAAAUCUAAUAACUAAUAACUGGUUUAGAAGAUAAUGAUCCUGUAAUUCUCCUCAGGGAAUUACUGAGCAUAGGAGGAAAAUAGGAAGAGUGCAGUAACACAGAUGCCAAGAGAAUAUUAUUCAAGAAAAAGAGGGGACUUGUUUUAAUGAGAGCCAAAUAAGGUGAAGAAUAGAACACUUAUUGGAUCAGCAUGGGAAAAGUGUAGAUGCUUCUCCAGAAAAGCCUUCACUCAUCUGCCCACGCACAAUUAAAUAUACCUUCAUCUGGGUUUCCAUCGAGGUUAUUCUGUUACAGCACCUGCUGUUUUUAUUCAGAAUUAUAAAAGGUUAAAAGUCAACUCUAAGUUUGUGAGAAAGUGGUCGGAAAACUCAGGAUACAUAUCCAAAACCUCUAACAAGUCUUCUCUCUGGAUCUUAUGCAAGUCACAACUUUGUCUACAUGACUGGACUUCUGCCAGAUUUCCUGCAUGGACGGAAGACCUCUCCAAAAUGAUAACUUGCCUAGUCUUUGCCCAUUUUUGCUUUGGGGGGCUAGUGGAUCUUUCUGCACUCUUUGUCAGAUCCUACACAACCCAGCUCCUCUCCUAGAGCCAACCCUCUGGUACGUCACUGAUCCCUCCCACAUGGGAUUUUUUGGCAAGUUAUGCUAGACUAGAAUUGAGUGAUGUUUGUAUACUGUUUUCUGAAAUGGGACCACUUUAUUUGGAGGUGUUACAGUAGGAAAAACCCCAGUUCACUGGUCUUCCUACACAUUUUUCCUCCCUGAAGCCCAUUGUUGUGGUCUUGGCAUGA